GGCCAGACUCCUACGGGAGGCAGCAGUGGGGAAUAUUGCACAAUGGGGGAAACCCUGAUGCAGCGACGCCGCGUGAGUGAAGAAGUAUUUCGGUAUGUAAAGCUCUAUCAGCAGGAAAGAAAAUGACGGUACCUGACUAAGAAGCCCCGGCUAACUACGUGCCAGCAGCCGCGGUAAUACGUAGGGGGCAAGCGUUAUCCGGAUUUACUGGGUGUAAAGGGGGCGCAGACGGCAGCGCAAGCCAGGAGUGAAAGCCCGGGGCCCAACCCCGGGACUGCUCUUGGAACUGCGCGGCUGGAGUGCAGGAGGGGCAGGCGGAAUUCCUGGUGUAGCGGUGAAAUGCGUAGAUAUCAGGAGGAACACCGGUGGCGAAGGCGGCCUGCUGGACUGCGACUGACGUUGAGGCCCGAAAGCGUGGGGAGCAAACAGGAUUAGAUACCCCGGUAC
rnacentral:rRNA from 1 species